rnacentral:rRNA from 1 species
UACGGAGGGAGCAAGCGUUAAUCGGAAUUACUGGGCGUAAAGCGCACGCAGGCGGUUUGAUAAGUUAGAUGUGAAAGCCCCGGGCUCAACCUGGGAAUUGCAUUUAAAACUGUCAGGCUAGAGACUUGGAGAGGGGGGUAGAAUUCCAAGUGUAGCGGUGAAAUGCGUAGAGAUCUGGAGGAAUACCGGUGGCGAAGGCGGCCCCCUGGACGGAGACUGACGCUCAGGUGCGAAAGCGUGGGGAGCAAACAGG